AUAAAAAGAAAAAAUUGUCUUGGGGAAACACAUUUCAUUAGGGAAAGCAAGGUUAAGGGUUUAGAAAAGGUAGGAAGAUCGUAUACCGCAUUAUAAUGACAUCAGAAUCUAUUUCACUGUACACUUAGGGAUUAUCAGGCAUGAAAAUCAAUGCCCAAUUUAAAAUGACAUAAAGCAUAUGUGAAAAAGUCAGUUUCUCCUGCCAGCAAAUAGCCUAAAUGUUAAGUAAACCAAAGGCUGGAAGGGAUUAGUUGAAAUGUCAAAAGACAACCUUUUACUUUUACCUGCUCAUCCUUAUAAAUGCAUUCUCAUCCCUCAGGCAUGAUUUCCAAACAAAUAGUUUCAAUGUGCAGCAGCAAAAGGCCCAUGGCAAGCUCUGCCAUCUUGUAACUGUCAAAGAGAUUAGUCUUUGAUCUAUUUGGGAGGUCAUGUCCACAUUCACAUUAGCAAUACAGUCUAAUAACAUUAUACCUGUUGACCAAUCCUUCUUUAAUGCCUAACGAGACAGACAUUUUAUAUUAUGGAAGUUAACUGUGAAUGUUUUUUCUAAGUUUUGACAGAAAGUAAACACUAUAAACUAAGCUGAAGUGUGGUUUGGAAAGAUGAUCUUGUAGACCAGUUAACAUUACUUUUCAAAUACAUUUUACAAGGCUUUCCCAAAAUAGAAAGCUAUAUUUAAUUGUACACUCUAGAAGAGUUUAAACCACUUGGUCCCCACCCCCAAUAAAUUAGUAUAUGUGUAAUUCUGGAGGGGUGUGUAAACAGCAGAGAGAAAUCAAACUAUUUUAUCAAAGGUUGCAAACUGAGGGCCCAAACUUACGUUUCAUGUGGCUCUUACCGUAGCUUAAAAUAAUUUGAACUAUUUGCCAACCUUCAACUAGCUCACUCAUUUAAAUAACCUGUUUAACUCCUUUAGUGGCUUGAGUCUGCAACCCAUUGGUUCAGAUGCUGCACUGAUUUUUUUUUUCCCAUAAUGAGUUUAAGUUCACAGAAAAUGAAAAAAAAAAAAAAAACAACCCUUAAUAUAGUAGUUUCUGGGCAACUAAAAAUAUCUGUGCAUCAAAAGCUAACCUGAUGUAAGCAAAGAGGAGAUCCUGAAUAGCAGACACAGAUAAUCAAGACUGAGGUGACACUUAGAGAAUUAUGUAAAAAUACCCAGAUAACUAUUGUCAAGCAGAAGUUAAAUGGUUCUGGAUUCUGAUUUUACUAUUACACUAUAAUAUACUUGAGAUCAAACAGUAAGUUUCUCAAGUCCUUUAAUGACUCAGUUUUAUUGGAGACAGUAUACGUACUACACUACUGAAUGGGUACAGAAUGUAUAAAAUAACCAAAAGGAUUAUACUGUAUAUGUCAACAAGAAAUUUAAGUCACACUUUUGAACACUAGAUUAUUUUUUCAACUUAGUCAAACCCAACAGUGUGGCCAUAAGUAGCUCUGCAUGAUGAGAGUAUCAUUUUACACAUAGCUUCUGAAGAAAUAAGUGGUGUGAUAAAUAUGAACUGGAAUUAUAAAUGCAUCUCCUCAGUUUACUGCCUCAUACAAAAGACCGGGGAAUUUAUCCCAAUUCAUAUGAAUAUAUAUUAUGAUUUCAGUAUUAAAUGCUUUUCUAAAAGCAAUCACUAUAGGCAGAAUGUAUUUUUUUCUCAUAUGUAAGCUUUAAAACAGAAGUUCAAGCCUCAAAAUAAGACUGACAACAAUCAGCUAAACUUAUUAUUAAAAAUAUUUUAAAACUUUGCUUCAAAAAAAUAAACACAUUUGUCCAGCAAACACUCAAGAUGCAUAGUUUUAUCUUUCGCCAAGGUAAAGGACCUAAAACAUAAACAUUUAUAGCAAACCAAAUCUGGAGACAGAGACUGCGCAUUAGAGACAUUUACUGCUUUAUAUCAUCACAGUAUAAACACUUUUUAUCAGGGUAUCACAAUAUAAAUUCCAAUGGUUAGAGUUCUAAACUCAGCAUAAGAUCUUGUAUGUAAAAUAAUUUAGCUAGAUAAAAGGAAUAUAGCUGGUUUUAUUUCAUCUGGCAUAUUUUCAAGAUUUCUGAAACACCAAGUUAACCAAAUAUAGUAUAUAUAUUUUCUUAAAAGGGGAAAAAAUGGAUUUCUGCCAAGACUUAAGAAGCCAGGCUCCCUUUUAGAGUUAAAAAAAAAAAAUACACACAAAAAACCACAUACACAUUAGAGAUGGUUUUCAAUUGUUACUUACUUUCCUUGUUACAAUAGGAAUUGACCACAAUAAUCUACUAAGAAAUAAGAAUCAAGACAUAGUAACAGACACAGUAUCAGUAACAUAACUUAUUUCACAGAUGCUUUAAGGCUGCUUUGGGUAACACACUUUGUACAGAAAAAAUCUAUAUUGAACUCUGUGUUAUAAAUUAUCAUUGUUAAAAAAAAUGGCCUAGAAAUUUCAAAUAUAAGAAAAAAACAUUCUCCUCAAACUAGGCAUCUCUUAUUCUCGACAUAUUCAACAUAUUUUACCUCAACUAGUUAUAAUAAUUUAGCUACCAUCCAGAAUAGCUUAUUGGUAACUCAGCAACAUCUAAGUAAUUCUGAAUAAUGCAAAAACAUUCUGUCAGUAUGGUGCAUUAGAUCUUUGAGUUUUUUUAUUACAAAAAUAAUUUUUCAAGAUAAGAUAAUGAACCCAGAAAAAGAGCAGAAAUUAAUAUUUUUCUAUUAAAAGAAAAAAAAAAGACAGUUAAUAUUUUAAAACAUGUAAGAAACCUUAAGUUGAAUACACUCAUUCUAUAAAGGGCAAAGUCAAAAAAAAUUCUUUUAAAUACUAAGUUUUGUGGCAAUUUAGUUAGGCUACCCAUACUAAAAUAUCAUCUAUAUAAAUCUAAAAAUGCUUAAGUUAUCAUCUCUAGAAAAGGUCAUAUAUAUACAUGCUAUAGUAGGUUCUGAGGGAAGGAGGUAUAAUGGAAAAAAUACACAGCUUGGAUUCAAGGCUUUGACACUAAUUAGUUGUAUGACCUUGGGCGAGGCACAGUACCCCCUCAAUUUAGCUUUCUUUCUUAGUUUCCUCCUUUGUAAGUAGAAGAAAACAAGAAAACAUAAGAAAAUAAUUCCUGCCACACAGAGUUGAAGAAAUAAAUGACACACAAAACAGUAAAGCAUCAUCACAUAUUGGAGGCAAAUCUAAGUAAAUGGAUAUCUGGAUGAGAGGUGAAAGAAAGAUUAUGCCAUAAACCAGUAGAGAGCCAACGUUCUUUUAACUUUUCUAAUAACUGGAAAGGAAAAAGAAAAAAGAAAUGAACGUUUUGUGUGUCCAACUGAACUUACCUUGGUUUGCUGAAAGAAAAUGUGACUACAAUGUGACUACGGCAAGUGAAUUAAUAACCUGUGUUUUACUUUUCCCAUCUAUAAAAUGAGAAAAACAGUAAUAUGCCAUAGUGUUGUUAGUGGGUUAAAUUCAUGAACUGAUUUAGAUAGCUUUGAAUGCCUUGCACACUGUAAGAACUCCACAAUCGUUAACUGCUACUGCUGCUGUUACCAUUUCUAUUACUACUAACAUUACUUCCGCUGCUGCUGCUGCUACUUCUAUGAUUGCUAUUUUGGGGUUUCAAAAACAGAAAAAUGACUUCUGACAAAGUGGAUAAAUUUUAAGUUAUCUCUUUAAAAUUAUUUUUUUAAAAUAUGAAAUUUAUUGUCAAAUUGGUUUCCAUACA